AUUGAACGCUGGCGGCAUGCCUUACACAUGCAAGUCGAACGGCAGCAUGGGUGCUUGCACCUGAUGGCGAGUGGCGAACGGGUGAGUAAUGCAUCGGAACGUACCCGGAAGUGGGGGAUAACGUAGCGAAAGUUACGCUAAUACCGCAUAUUCUGUGAGCAGGAAAGCGGGGGAUCGCAAGACCUCGCGCUUCCGGAGCGGCCGAUGUCGGAUUAGCUAGUUGGCGGGGUAAAGGCCCACCAAGGCAACGAUCCGUAGCGGGUCUGAGAGGAUGAUCCGCCACACUGGGACUGAGACACGGCCCAGACUCCUACGGGAGGCAGCAGUGGGGAAUUUUGGACAAUGGGCGCAAGCCUGAUCCAGCCAUGCCGCGUGAGUGAAGAAGGCCUCGG
rnacentral:rRNA from 1 species